UGAGCCGCGGCAUCGGAAGCGAGUUUUGCGUGGUAUGUGGUAACACAUACUGUGAAGCGUAAACAGCAUGGCUGUAGGGGUAGUAUUCAGCAUCGUAAGACCAAUAACUCCAGAGGACGACGUGGUUGCCUGUGCGGAAGUCAACACGGAGGAAAUCAUUAAAGGCGAGACUUUCUUUGCUCUGGCGGUGCC
rnacentral:ncRNA from 1 species